UUGCAGGUGAAAGUCCUGCCGCAGUAGUUGGUUGAUUUGACUGCGUAGCUAUGGCGUACGUGUGGAUGGUGACUGAAACACGGGAGCAACGCCGGAUAAACGUGACCCCUGACCCAGACUGUGGGUGCGCGCAAGUAUGCAGCCCGUAACGCAA
rnacentral:ncRNA from 1 species